rnacentral:rRNA from 1 species
GAAUGGGGAAACCCAGUGUGUUUCGACACACUAUCAUUAACUGAAUCCAUAGGUUAAUGAGGCGAACCGGGGGAACUGAAACAUCUAAGUACCCCGAGGAAAAGAAAUCAACCGAGAUUCCCCCAGUAGCGGCGAGCGAACGGGGAGCAGCCCAGAGUCUGAAUCAGUGUGUGUGUUAGUGGAAGUGUCUGGAAAGGCGCGCGAUACAGGGUGACAGCCCCGUACACAAAAAUGCACAUGCUGUGAGCUCGAUGAGUAGGGCGGGACACGUGGUAUCCUGUCUGAAUAUGGGGGGACCAUCCUCCAAGGCUAAAUACUCCUGACUGACCGAUAGUGAACCAGUACCGUGAGGGAAAGGCGAAAAGAACCCCGGCGAGGGGAGUGAAAAAGAACCUGAAACCGUGUACGUACAAGCAGUGGGAGCCCUGAUUUAUCAGGGUGACUGCGUACCUUUUGUAUAAUGGGUCAGCGACUUAUAUUCUGUAGCAAGGUUAACCGAAUAGGGGAGCCGGAGGGAAACCGAGUCUUAACUGGGCGUUAAGUUGCAGGGUAUAGACCCGAAACCCGGUGAUCUAGCCAUGGGCAGGUUGAAGGUUGGGUAACACUAACUGGAGGACCGAACCGACUAAUGUUGAAAAAUUAGCGGAUGACUUGUGGCUGGGGGUGAAAGGCCAAUCAAACCGGGAGAUAGCUGGUUCUCCCCGAAAGCUAUUUAGGUAGCGCCUCGUGAAUUCAUCUCCGGGGGUAGAGCACUGUUUCGGCAAGGGGGUCAUCCCGACUUACCAACCCGAUGCAAACUGCGAAUACCGGAGAAUGUUAUCACGGGAGACACACGGCGGGUGCUAACGUCCGUCGUGAAGAGGGAAACAACCCAGACCGCCAGCUAAGGUCCCAAAGUCAUGGUUAAGUGGGAAACGAUGUGGGAAGGCCCAGACAGCCAGGAUGUUGGCUUAGAAGCAGCCAUCAUUUAAAGAAAGCGUAAUAGCUCACUGGUCGAGUCGGCCUGCGCGGAAGAUGUAACGGGGCUAAACCAUGCACCGAAGCUGCGGCAGCGACACUGUGUGUUGUUGGGUAGGGGAGCGUUCUGUAAGCCUGUGAAGGUGUGCUGUGAGGCAUGCUGGAGGUAUCAGAAGUGCGAAUGCUGACAUAAGUAACGAUAAAGCGGGUGAAAAGCCCGCUCGCCGGAAGACCAAGGGUUCCUGUCCAACGUUAAUCGGGGCAGGGUGAGUCGACCCCUAAGGCGAGGCCGAAAGGCGUAGUCGAUGGGAAACAGGUUAAUAUUCCUGUACUUGGUGUUACUGCGAAGGGGGGACGGAGAAGGCUAUGUUGGCCGGGCGACGGUUGUCCCGGUUUAAGCGUGUAGGCUGGUUUUCCAGGCAAAUCCGGAGAAUCAAGGCUGAGGCGUGAUGACGAGGCACUACGGUGCUGAAGCAACAAAUGCCCUGCUUCCAGGAAAAGCCUCUAAGCAUCAGGUAACAUCAAAUCGUACCCCAAACCGACACAGGUGGUCAGGUAGAGAAUACCAAGGCGCUUGAGAGAACUCGGGUGAAGGAACUAGGCAAAAUGGUGCCGUAACUUCGGGAGAAGGCACGCUGAUAUGUAGGUGAAGCGACUUGCUCGUGGAGCUGAAAUCAGUCGAAGAUACCAGCUGGCUGCAACUGUUUAUUAAAAACACAGCACUGUGCAAACACGAAAGUGGACGUAUACGGUGUGACGCCUGCCCGGUGCCGGAAGGUUAAUUGAUGGGGUCAGCGCAAGCGAAGCUCUUGAUCGAAGCCCCGGUAAACGGCGGCCGUAACUAUAACGGUCCUAAGGUAGCGAAAUUCCUUGUCGGGUAAGUUCCGACCUGCACGAAUGGCGUAAUGAUGGCCAGGCUGUCUCCACCCGAGACUCAGUGAAAUUGAACUCGCUGUGAAGAUGCAGUGUACCCGCGGCAAGACGGAAAGACCCCGUGAACCUUUACUAUAGCUUGACACUGAACACUGGUCCUUGAUGUGUAGGAUAGGUGGGAGGCUUUGAAGUGUGGACGCCAGUCUGCAUGGAGCCGUCCUUGAAAUACCACCCUUUAAUGGCUGGUGUUCUAACGUUGGCCCCUUACCGGGGUUGCGGACAGUGUCUGGUGGGUAGUUUGACUGGGGCGGUCUCCUCCUAAAGAGUAACGGAGGAGCACGAAGGUUGGCUAAUCCUGGUCGGACAUCAGGAGGUUAGUGCAAUGGCAUAAGCCAGCUUGACUGCGAGCGUGACGGCGCGAGCAGGUGCGAAAGCAGGUCAUAGUGAUCCGGUGGUUCUGAAUGGAAGGGCCAUCGCUCAACGGAUAAAAGGUACUCCGGGGAUAACAGGCUGAUACCGCCCAAGAGUUCAUAUCGACGGCGGUGUUUGGCACCUCGAUGUCGGCUCAUCACAUCCUGGGGCUGAAGUAGGUCCCAAGGGUAUGGCUGUUCGCCAUUUAAAGUGGUACGCGAGCUGGGUUUAGAACGUCGUGAGACAGUUCGGUCCCUAUCUGCCGUGGGCGCUGGAGAACUGAGGGGGGCUGCUCCUAGUACGAGAGGACCGGAGUGGACGCAUCACUGGUGUUCGGGUUGUCAUGCCAAUGGCACUGCCCGGUAGCUAAAUGCGGAAGAGAUAAGUGCUGAAAGCAUCUAAGCACGAAACUUGCCCCGAGAUGAGUUCUCCCUGAGACCUGGAGUCUCCUGAAGGAACGUUGAAGACGACGACGUUGAUAGGCCGGGUGUGUAAGCGCAGCGAUGCGUUGAGCUAACCGGUACUAAUGAACCGUGAGGCUUAACCUUACAACGCCGAAGGUGUUU